AUUCAGUUGACGCGUUCAAAAUAGGACGAAAUGCGCGUCCUUGAU
rnacentral:hammerhead_ribozyme from 1 species